CAGAGGCGGAUCCAGGGGGUGGUCAUCCGGUGCCGGUGACCACCCCCUGGGUUUGCAAAAAUGGUGCACCAUGUACCAAAAAAUGGUGCACCUUGAACAUUUUGAAAAAUAAAUUCGUCGAUCAAAUCAAUUUGUCUAUCGUAAUCACCAGUCAUAAAGUUGUCAUUACUUACCUUAAGGCUAAAUACAUGUACCUUGACAGGUAUGUUUAUACAAUGAACAUGUAAUCAACAAUCGCUAAUUACUUGGUCGAUUUCUUUGAUGUUAAGGUGUAAAAAUGAAGAGACAGUCCUCAAUCUUAGAUGUUUUUAGCAGGUAAUUUAUACUUUUUUUACAUUACGUUUAUCUAAAUUUUUAAAGUUUGUAUAAUAACUUUUCUCGACCAAUAAUAUUUUUUUACUGUGAUGCCAAAAUUCAAAAAUAAUUUUAAAGUUUUAAAGUCACAUAAAUAUUCUAUAUUGAAUGAAUACCCCCGUUCCAUCAUCUGUUUGUCUAAAAGUUUCGUUCAUUCCAAUUUUUUAGUAACUUAUACCCUCUUUCCUUCAGGAAACGCCACAAAUCAGCCCCCUCUGAAGUACCAACGACUUGUAAUGGACCUAGCAUUGAUACGAAUAAAAGUGAUCAGAUUAAAGAAACAACCCCCGACUUACAUAUAAGUACAAACGACAUUGGUUUUGUAAAACAAUCAACACGUAAAUUAACAAACGAAGAGAAAUUUAAUUUGAUAAGAAAUCAUUUCCAACCUGGAAUAAACUAUAACUUUCCUAUAAAAAAAAUAUGCAGGAAAGAACAGACUGUUUCAGCUGAAUUGGCUAAAUCGCUAUGAUGGGCUAGUGUACUCACCUUCACAAGAAGGAGCUUACUGCAUAUACUGUGCUCUGUUUGGGGUUGAUAGUUUGGGAACAUUAUCAUGCAAACCACUAACAGAUAUGGCACAUGCAAGUACAAGACUUAACGAUCAUUUCGGCCGUGAUGAGAAAUCAUGUAAAAAAAAGUCAUACUGAAGCUAGAGCAAAAGCUCAACUUUUUCUUGACAACAUUGAGCAAAGGACUACUGAUAUUCAAACAUUUAUUGAUAAAGCAAUGAAUGAACGUAUAAAAGCAAACAGAACUGUUUUGAAAUCUAUAUGCAAGUGUGUUUUGCUUUGUGGCAAACAGAAUCUUCCUAUAAGGGGCCAUAAAAAAAUUGAAUUUUAAUUUAAGAUUUCAAAAGGUGACCACCCC
rnacentral:lncRNA from 1 species